AGUGAACGCUGGCGGUAGGCCUAACACAUGCAAGUCGAACGGCAGCACAGUAAGAGCUUGCUCUUACGGGUGGCGAGUGGCGGACGGGUGAGGAAUACAUCGGAAUCUACUUUUUCGUGGGGGAUAACGUAGGGAAACUUACGCUAAUACCGCAUACGACCUACGGGGGAAAGCAGGGGAUCUUCGGACCUUGCGCGAUUGAAUGAGCCGAUGUCGGAUUAGUUAGUUGGCGGGGUAACGGCCCACCAAGGCGACGAUCCGUAGCUGGUCUGAGAGGAUGAUCAGCCACACUGGAACUGAGACACGGUCCAGACUCCUACAGGAGGCAGCAGUGGGGAAUAUUGGACAAUGGGCGCAAGCCUGAUCCAGCCAUACCGCGUGGGUGAAGAAGGCCUUCGGGUUGUAAAGCCCUUUUGUUGGGAAAGAAAAGCAGCAGGUUAAUACCCCGCUGUUCUGACGGUACCCAAAGAAUAAGCACCGGCUAACUUCGUG
rnacentral:rRNA from 1 species